UAUUGGAUUUACAGCUGUCUGUUUCUCCAAUGAUGGCCUGGAAUGCCGCGUUGGUGCUGGUUCCUCUAUUAAUAGCUCUACAUCUGCAAGACUGAUAUAAGAAGCUACGUUGGGGUAAUACACGCUGCGACCAGUCUACAAAUAGCUAUAAGUCGCGGUGAUGGACAGCUGGACACGGUCACGAAAAGGUCACGACUACUGAGCAAUGAAAUAUGACAUGACUAUUUGCCUCCAGCGGGCUUUGAAACAUUAUAUCUAUUUGUGCUCUCAUUUGA